AUACACGGCCCAGACUCUUACGGGAGGCAGCAGUGGGGAAUAUUGGACAAUGGGGGCAACCCUGAUCCAGCCAUGCCGCGUGAGUGAUGAAGGCCUUAGGGUUGUAAAGCUCUUUCGUCAGGGAAGAUAAUGACGGUACCUGAAGAAGAAGCCCCGGCUAACUUCGUGCCAGCAGCCGCGGUAAUACGAAGGGGGCUAGCGUUGUUCGGAAUUACUGGGCGUAAAGCGCACGUAGGCCGGACAUUUAAGUCAGGGGUGAAAUCCCAGGGCUCAACCCUGGAACUGCCUUUGAUACUGGGUGUCUUGAGUACGAGAGAGGUGAGUGGAUUUCCGAGCGUAGAGGUGAAAUUUGUAGAUAUUGGGAAGAACUCCAGUGGGGAAGGUGGCUCAAGGGUUCGUAACCGAAAUUGAGGUGUGAACGCGUGGGGAGCAAACAGGUUUGGAUACCCUGGUAGUCCUCUCCGUAACC
rnacentral:rRNA from 1 species